CACCAAGAUUAGUUACGACUAUAUUCUAUGCUCCAAAUGCAAACAUGUUUGGGAUGAUCUCAAGGAACGUUUCAACAAGUCAAAUUUGACAAGAAUUUAUCAGAUUUGCACUGAAGUAGCAUGCCUAAGGCAAGGGAAUUGCGAGUACAAUAAGAGUGAAUAGAGCUUUGUGAACCUAGGCAUCGAGUGGGGUCUCUCCUGAUCAAAGAGACCUAAUCUUGCAACAAUGUGGCUAUGUUAAAGGACUUUCUCUUGGACAACCAAAAACCUUUUGUAUGCUGGCAGACUUCAAUGGGUGCAAACUGUCAUUUUGGUAUCCAAUCUUAUUGGACACAAUUAUUUGUGUUACCAGGCAAAGUCUGCAAAUGCAUUGAUGCUU